GACGAACGCUGGCGGCGUGCUUAACACAUGCAAGUCGAACGGAAAGGCCCUGCUUUUGUGGGGUGCUCGAGUGGCGAACGGGUGAGUAACACGUGAGUAACCUGCCCUUGACUUUGGGAUAACUUCAGGAAACUGGGGCUAAUACCGGAUAGGAGCUCCUGCUGCAUGGUGGGGGUUGGAAAGUUUCGGCGGUUGGGGAUGGACUCGCGGCUUAUCAGCUUGUUGGUGGGGUAGUGGCUUACCAAGGCUUUGACGGGUAGCCGGCCUGAGAGGGUGACCGGCCACAUUGGGACUGAGAUACGGCCCGGACUCCUACGGGAGGCAGCAGUGGGGAAUAUUGCACAAUGGGCGGAAGCCUGAUGCAGCAACGCCGCGUGCGGGAUGACGGCCUUCGGGUUGUAAACCGCUUUCGCCUGUGACGAAGCGUGAGUGACGGUAAUGGGUAAAGAAGCACCGGCUAACUACGUGCCAGCAGCCGCGGUGAUACGUAGGGUGCGAGCGUUGUCCGGAUUUAUUGGGCGUAAAGGGCUCGUAGGUGGUUGAUCGCGUCGGAAGUGUAAUCUUGGGGCUUAACCCUGAGCGUGCUUUCGAUACGGGUUGACUUGAGGAAGGUAGGGGAGAAUGGAAUUCCUGGUGGAGCGGUGGAAUGCGCAGAUAUCAGGAGGAACACCAGUGGCGAAGGCGGUUCUCUGGGCCUUUCCUGACGCUGAGGAGCGAAAGCGUGGGGAGCGAACAGGCUUAGAUACCCUGGUAGUCCACGCUGUAAACGGUGGGUACUAGGUGUGGGGUCCAUUCCACGGGUUCCGUGCCGUAGCUAACGCUUUAAGUACCCCGCCUGGGGAGUACGGCCGCAAGGCUAAAACUCAAAGGAAUUGACGGGGCCCCGCACAAGCGGCGGAGCAUGCGGAUUAAUUCGAUGCAACGCGUAGAACCUUACCUGGGUUUGACAUGGAUCGGGAGUGCUCAGAGAUGGGUGUGCCUCUUUUGGGGUCGGUUCACAGGUGGUGCAUGUCUGUCGUCAGCUCGUGUCGUGAGAUGUUGGGUUAAGUCCCGCAACGAGCGCAACCCUUGUUCACUGUUGCCAGCACGUUAUGGUGGGGACUCAGUGGAGACCGCCGGGGUCAACUCGGAGGAAGGUGGGGAUGACGUCAAGUCAUCAUGCCCCUUAUGUCCAGGGCUUCACGCAUGCUACAAUGGCUGGUACAGAGAGUGGCGAGCCUGUGAGGGUGAGCGAAUCUCGGAAAGCCGGUCUCAGUUCGGAUUGGGGUCUGCAACUCGACCUCAUGAAGUCGGAGUCGCUAGUAAUCGCAGAUCAGCAACGCUGCGGUGAAUAAGUUCCCGGG
rnacentral:rRNA from 1 species